AUUGAACGCUGGCGGCAUGCCUUACACAUGCAAGUCGAACGGCAGCACGGGUGCUUGCACCUGGUGGCGAGUGGCGAACGGGUGAGUAAUACAUCGGAACGUACCUUAUCGUGGGGGAUAACGCAGCGAAAGCUGUGCUAAUACCGCAUACGCCCUGAGGGGGAAAGCGGGGGAUCGAAAGACCUCGCGCGAUUAGAGCGGCCGAUGCCGGAUUAGCUUGUUGGGGGGGUAAAAGCCCACCAAGGCGACGAUCAGUAGCUGGUCUGAGAGGACGAUCAGCCACACUGGGACUGAGACACGGCCCAGACUCCUACGGGAGGCAGCAGUGGGGAAUUUUGGGCAAUGGGGGCAACCCUGAUCCAGCAAUGCCGCGUGAGUGAAGAAGGCCUUCGGGUUGUAAAGCUCUUUUGUCAGGGAAGAAACACCGGCUCUAACACAGUCCGGGAAUGACGGUACCUGAAGAAUAAGCACCGGCUAACUACGAGCCAGCAGCCGCCGUAA
rnacentral:rRNA from 1 species